AGAGUUUGAUCAUGGCUCAGGAUAAACGCUGGCGGCGUGCCUUACGCAUGCAAGUCGCACGAUCACUUCGGUGGUAGUGGCGGACGGGUGAGUAACACGUACGUGAUCUGUCCCGAACUGGGGGAUAACCGCCCGAAAGGGUGGCUAAUACCGCAUGUGGUCCCUGGGAUGCGUCUCAGGGAGUAAAGCUCCGGCGGUUCGGGAGGAGCGUGCGGCCGAUUAGCUGGUUGGUGGGGUAACGGCCUACCAAGGCGUCGAUCGGUAGCUGGUCUGAGAGGACGGCCAGCCACACGGGGACUGAGACACGGCCCCGACUCCUACGGGAGGCAGCAGCGAGGAAUCUUGGUCAAUGGGCGCAAGCCUGAUCCAGCCAUGCCGCGUGCAGGAAGAAGGCUUUCUGAGUUGUAAACUGCUUUUGCCAGGGGAUAAAAUACGGAUGCGUCCGGAAUUGAAGGUACCUGGUGAAUAAGCCACGGCUAACUACGUGCCAGCAGCCGCGGUAAUUC
rnacentral:rRNA from 1 species